GUGCCAGCCGCCGCGGUAAUACCGGCAGCACGAGUGAUGGCCGCUGUUAUUGGGCCUAAAGCGUCCGUAGCCGGCCGAGCAAGUCCGUCGGGAAAUCUGUCCGCUUAACGGACAGGCGUCCGGCGGAAACUGUUCGGCUUGGGGCCGGGAGAUCCGAGGGGUACGUCCGGGGUAGGAGUGAAAUCCCGUAAUCCUGGACGGACCGCCGGUGGCGAAAGCGCCUCGGAAAGACGGACCCGACGGUGAGGGACGAAAGCUAGGGUCUCGAACCGGAUUAGAAACCCGAGUAGUCC
rnacentral:rRNA from 1 species